rnacentral:lncRNA from 1 species
CAAAGUGAGCGUAUCUGUUCAAUGUACGGUUAAAGGGCUAUUUUGCAUUUUUUGCCGAUCCGCACACAUUGGAAUUUCGCUAACUCCUCCGAAGGCUUUCGUUCCAAAGGCAUCACAUUUGCUCAGGCCAAUCUACACCCCAUGGCCAUUAAAAGUUGUACAAAUCAUGACGCUGCACCCCACGGUUUACGUUCUAGGGGGCGCCAAAGAUAACCCAAAAAUCCACAGUCUUAAAAGUCUUAUAACUUUUUAUUUUUGUCCUCACUGGCCUCCAAGUUCUCUAGGAUGAUGCAAUGUCCAGCCAUCAACACAUUUGUGGAGGAAUUUUUACUCGCCAAAAGAGCGCCCCCCCCCCCAUGGCAGGAGAAAAAAGUCCAUUUUUUCUUGUCUCCUAAGGCGAAAAUUCACACUAUUGACUGUCACGCCUGUACGCUUUGUCAUAUUAACACAAAAAUUGACACACACAUGUAUCUCAAUAAGAUCUACAAAAAAGUCAGUGCGGGCGUAUCUGUCAAAUGUACGGUUAAAGGGUUAUUUCGCAUUUUUUGCAGAUCCGCACACAUUGGAAUUUCGCUAACUCCUCCGAAGGCUUUCGGUCCACCGGCACCACAUUUGCUCAGGCCAAUCUACACUCCAUGGCCAUUCAAAGUUGUACAAAUCAUGAUGCUGCACCCCAUGGUUUAGGUUCUAGGGGGCGCCAAAAAUAACCCUAAAAUCCACAUUCUUAAAAGUUUUAUAACUUUUUAUUUUUGCCCUCACUGGCCUCCAAGUCUUCUAGGAUGAUGCAAUGUCCAGCCAUCAACACAUUUGUGAAGGAAUUUUUACUCCCCAAAAGAGCGCCCCCCCCAUGGCAGGACAAAAGAGUCAAUUUUUUCUUGUCCCCUAAGGUGAAAAUACACAUUGUUGAAUGUCACGCCUGUACGCUUUGUCAUAUUGACACAAAAUUUGACAAUCACGUGUAUCUCAAUAAGAUCUACGAAAAGGUCAAUGCGCGCGUAUCUGUAAAAUGUACGGUUAAAGGGUUAUUUCGCAUUUUUUGCCGAUUCGCACACAUUGGAAUGUGGCUAACUCCUCCUAAGGCUUUCGUCCCACUGACACCAAAUUUGCUCAGGCCAAUCUACACCCCAUGGCCAUUCAAAGUUGUAAAAAUCAUGACGCUGCACCCCAUGGUCUACGUUCUAGGGGGCGCCAAAGAGGACCCAAAUAUCCACAUUUUUAAAGUCUUAUAACUUUUUAUUUUUGUCCUCACUGGCCUCCAAGUUUUCUAGGAUGAUGCAAUGUCCAGCCAUCAACACAUUUGUGAAGGAAUUUUUUCUCCCCAAAAGAGCGCCCCCCCCAUGGCAGGAGAAAAAGUCAAGUUUUUCCUGCCCAUCGCUCAAUGGCUCAAACGCAUCGCUCUCUCGGCAAAACGGAAAGGAGGAGCAACUUGCCAUUUGGAUUUAUACUAGCUGUGUUUGUGCCCUCACUCAUGGUCCAGACUUUUUUCAAAAAGGACAUGGAGUUUGUCUGCAGCGAGCGUUUUGGUAGAAACUGCGCCUCCCAUUCAUUAUAAUGGUAAAUGACCACAGACAAGUGCGCACACCAUCUUUGGACCUUGAGUGUGACGCGAUCGGGAGGGGUAGGCGGUCGCGCUGGGGGCGGCGUGACACGGCUCGGGCCCGCCAGUGCCCCACCGGGGCCCUAGUUAUUAUUUUUCCUCCGCUUUAAACUGGAAAAUGGCCUACUUCCCACUGGAGAAAACUCAUGAAAUUUGGCAGGACGACCGGGCCUGGUGAAAAAUUCGAUAUUCUGAAGUCGCCCAAACAAUAAAAUGCAAAAUGGCUCCAUAGCGCCUCCUAAGGCGAAAAUUCACACUAUUGACUGUCAUGCCUGUACGCUUUGUCAUAUUGACACAAAAAUUGACACACACGUGUAUCUCAAUACGGUCUACGAAAAAGUCAGCGCGGGCGCAUCUGUGAAAUGUACGGUUAGAGGGUUAUUUCGCAUUUUUUGCCGAUCUGCACACAUUGGAAUUUGGCUAACUCCUCCGAAGGCAUUCGUUCCACCGGCACCACAUUUGCUCAAGCCAAUCUACACCCCAUGGCCAUUAAAAGUUGUACAAAUCAUGACGCUGCACCCCACAGUUUACGUUCUAGGGGGCGCCAAAGAUAACCCAAAAAUCCACAGUCUUAAAAGUCUUAUAACUUUUUAUUUUUGUCCUCACUGGCCUCCAAGUUCUCUAGGAUGAUGCAAUGUCCAGCCAUCAACACAUUUGUGAAGGAAUUUUUACUCCCCAAAAGAGCGCCCCCACAUGGCAGGAGAAAAAAGUCCAUUUUUUCUUGUCCCCUAAGGUGAAAAUACACAUUGUUGAGUGUCACGCCUAUACGCUUUGUCAUAUUGACACAAAAUUUGACAAUCACGUGUAUCUCAAUAAGAUCUACGAAAAAGUCAAUGGGCACGUAUCUGUAAAAUGUACGGUUAAAGGGUUAUUUCGCAUUUUUUCCCGAUCCGCACACAUUGGAAUUUCGCUAACUCCUCCGAAGGCUUUAGUUCCACCGCCACCAAAUUUGCUCAGGCCAAUCUACUCCCCAUGGCCAUUAAAAGUUGUACAAAUCAUGACGUUGCACUCCACGGUUUAGGUUCUAGGGGGCGCCAAAGAUAACCCAAAAAUCCACAUUCUUAAUAGUCUUAUAACUUUUUAUUUUUGUCCUCACUGGCCUCCAAGUUUUCUAGGAUGAUGCAAUGUCCAGCCAUCAACACAUUUGUAAAGGAAUUUUUACUCCCGAAAAGAGCGCCCCCCCAUGGCAGGAGAAAAAAGUCCAUUUUUUCUUGUCCCCUAAGGUGAAAAAACACAUUGUUGACUGUCACGCCUAUACGCUUUGUCAAAAUGACACAAAAUUUGACACACACGUGUAUCUCAAUAAGAUCUACGAAAAAGUCAAUGGGCACGUAUCUGUAAAAUGUACGGUUAAAGGGCUAUUUCGCAUUUUUUGCCGAUUCGCACACAUUGGAAUGUGGCUAACUCCUCCUAAGGCUUUCUUCCCACCGACACCAAAUUUGCUCAAGCCGAUCUACAUCCCAUGGCCAUUCAAAGUUGUAAAAAUCAUGCCGCUGCACCCCAUGGUUUACGUUCUAGGGGGCGCCAAAGAUGACCCAAAUAUCCACAUUCUUAAAAGAAUCCACAUCCCCCCCCCCCCAAGGCAGGAGAAAAAGUCCAGUUAACCCUGCCCAUCGCUCAAUGGCUCAAUCGCAUCGCUCUCCUGGCAACACCGUAAGGAGGAGCAACUUGCCAUUUGGAUAUAUCCUAGCUGUGUUUGUGCCCUCACUCAUGGUCCAGACUUUUUUCAAAUAGGACAUGUAGUUUGUCUGCAGCGACCGUUUUGGUAGAAACUGCGCCUCCCAUUCAUUAUAAUGGGAAAUGACCACAGACAAGUGCGCACACCAUCUUUGGACCUUGAGUGUGAUGCGAACGGGAGGGGGAGGCGGUCGCGCUGGGGGCGGCGCGACGCGGCUCGGGCCCAACAGUGCCCCACCGGGGCCCUAGUUAGGGCCCGAGCGUAGCUGCUAAGCAGCUGCGAGAGCCCUGUUGUUCCUGAUGAGUUUUUCUUUCUUCUUUCUUUCUUUCUUUCUUCUUAUUUUUCCUCCCCUUUGAAGGGGAAAAUGGCCCACUUCCCACUGGCGAAAACUCAUGAAAUUUGACAGGAGGACCGGGCCUGGUGAAAAAUUCGAUAUUCUGAAGUCGCCCAAACAAUAAAAUGCAAAAUGGCUCCAUAGCGCCCCCUAAGGUGAAAAUUCACACUAUUGACUGUCACGCCUGUACGCUUUGUCAUAUUGACACAAAAAUUGACACACACAUGUAUCUCAAUAAGAUCUACAAAAAAGUCAGCACGGGCGUGUCUGUCAAAUGUACGGUUAAAGGGUUAUUUCGCAUUUUUUGCCGAUCCGCACACAUUGGAAUUUCGCUAACUCCUCCGAAGGCUUUCGUUCCACCGGCACCACAUUUGCUCAGGCCAAUCUACACCCCAUGGCCAUUAAAAGUUGUACAAAUCAUGACGCUGCACCCCACGGUUUACGUUCUAGGGGGCGCCAAAGAUAACCCAAAAAUCCACAGUCUUAAAAGUCUUAUAACUUUUUAUUUUUGUCCUCACUGGCCUCCAAGUUCUCUAGGAUGAUGCAAUGUCCAGCAAUUAACACAUUUGUGAAGGAAUUUUUACUCGCCAAAAGAGUGCCCCCCCAUGGCAGGAGAAAAAAGUCCAUUUUUUCUUGUCCCCUAAGGCGAAUAUACACAUUGUUGAGUGUCACGCCUGUACGCUUUGUCAUAUUGACACAAAAUUUGACAAUCAAGUGUAUCUCAAUAAGAUCUAUGAAAAAGUCAAUGUGCGCGUAUCUGUAAAAUGUACAGUUAAAGGGCUAUUUCGCAUUUUUUGCCGAUUCGCACACAUUGGAAUGUGGCUAACUCCUCCUAAGGCUUUCGUUCCACUGACACCAAAUUUGCUCAGGCCAAUCUACACCCCAUGGCCAUUCAAAGUUGUACAAAUCAUGACGCUGCAUCCCACGGUUUACGUUCUAGGGGGCGCCAAAGAUGACCCAAAUAUCCACAUUUUUAAAAGUCUUAUAACUUUAUUUUUGUCCUCACUGGCCUCCAAGUUUUCUAGGAUGAUGCAAUGUUCAGUCAUCAACACAUUUGUGAAGGAAUUUUUUUUCCCCAAAAGAGCGCCCCCCCAUGGCAGGAGAAAAAGUCAAGUUUUUCCUGCCCAUCGCUCAAUGGCUCUAAUUCAUCGCUCUCUCGGCAAAACCGAAAGGAGGAGCACCUUGCCAUUUGGGUAUAUACUAGCAGUGUUUGUGCCCUCACUCAUGGUCCAGACUUUUUUCAAAAAGGACAUGGAGUUUGUCUGCAGCGAGCGUUUUGGUAGAAACUGCGCCUCCCAUCCAUUAUAAUGGUAAAUGACCACAGACAAGUGCGCACACCAUCUUUGGACCUUGAGUGUGACGCGAUCGGGAGGGGUAGGUGGUCGCGCUGGGAGCGGCGCGACACGGCUCGGGCCCGCCAGUGCCCCAACGGGGCCCUAGUUAUUAUUAUUAUUUUUCCUCCGCUUUAAACUGGAAAAUGGCCCACUUCCCACUGGCGAAAACUCAUGAAAUUUGGCAGGACGACCGGGCCUGGUGAAAAAUUCGAUAUUCUGAAGUCGCCCAAACAAUAAAAUGCAAAAUGGCUCCAUAGCGCCCCCUAAGGCGAAAAUUCACACUAUUGACUGUCACGCCUGUACGCUUUGUCAUAUUGACACAAAAAUUGACACACACGUGUAUCUCAAUACGGUCUACGAAAAAGUCAGCGCGGGCGCAUCUGUGAAAUGUACGGUUAGAGGGUUAUUUCGCAUUUUUUGCCGAUCUGCACACAUUGGAAUUUGGCUAACUCCUCCGAAGGCAUUCGUUCCACCGGCACCACAUUUGCUCAAGCCAAUCUACACCCCAUGGCCAUUAAAAGUUGUACAAAUCAUGACGCUGCACCCCACAGUUUACGUUCUAGGGGGCGCCAAAGAUAACCCAAAAAUCCACAGUCUUAAAAGUCUUAUCACUUUUUAUUUUUGUCCUCACUGGCCUCCAAGUUCUCUAGGAUGAUGCAAUGUCCAGCCAUCAACACAUUUGUGAAGGAAUUUUUGCUCCCCAAAAGAGCGCCCCCACAUGGCAGGAGAAAAAAAGUCCAUUUUUUCUUGUCCCCUAAGGUGAAAAUACACAUUGUUGAGUGUCACGCCUAUACGCUUUGUCAUAUUGACACAAAAUUUGACAAUCACGUGUAUCUCAAUAAGAUCUACGAAAAAGUCAAUGGGCACGUAUCUGUAAAAUGUACGGUUAAAGGGUUAUUUCGCAUUUUUUCCCGAUCCGCACACAUUGGAAUUUCGCUAACUCCUCCGAAGGCUUUAGUUCCACCGCCACCAAAUUUGCUCAGGCCAAUCUACACCCCAUGGCCAUUAAAAGUUGUUCAAAUCAUGACGUUGCACUCCACGGUUUAGGUUCUAGGGGGCGCCAAAGAUAACCCAAAAAUCCACAUUCUUAAUAGUCUUAUAACUUUUUAUUUUUGUCCUCACUGGCCUCCAAGUUUUCUAGGAUGAUGCAAUGUCCAGCCAUCAACACAUUUGUAAAGGAAUUUUUACUCCCGAAAAGAGCGCCCCCCCAUGGCAGGAGAAAAAAGUCCAUUUUUUCUUGUCCCCUAAGGUGAAAAAACACAUUGUUGACUGUCACGCCUAUACGCUUUGUCAAAAUGACACAAAAUUUGACACACACGUGUAUCUCAAUAAGAUCUACGAAAAAGUCAAUGGGCACGUAUCUGUAAAAUGUAUGGUUAAAGGGCUAUUUCGCAUUUUUUGCCGAUUCGCACACAUUGGAAUGUGGCUAACUCCUCCUAAGGCUUUCUUCCCACCGACACCAAAUUUGCUCAAGCCGAUCUACAUCCCAUGGCCAUUCAAAGUUGUAAAAAUCAUGCCGCUGCACCCCAUGGUUUACGUUCUAGGGGGCGCCAAAGAUGACCCAAAUAUCCACAUUCUUAAAAGAAUCCACAUCCCCCCCCCCCCAAGGCAGGAGAAAAAGUCCAGUUAACCCUGCCCAUCGCUCA